GAUGAAGAACGUAGCGAAAUGCGAUAAGUAAUGUGAAUUGCAGAAUUCAGUGAAUCAUCGAAUCUUUGAACGCACAUUGCGCCCGCCAGUAUUCUGGCGGGCAUGCCUGUUCGAGCGUCAUUACAACCCUCAGGCCCCCGGGCCUGGCGUUGGGGAUCGGCGGAGCCCCCCGUGGGCACACGCCGUCCCCCAAAUGCAGUGGCGGUCCCGCCGCAGCUUCCAUCGCGUAGUAGCUAACACCUCGCGACUGGAGAGCGACGCGGCCACGCCGUAAAACACCCAACUCUUCUGAAGUUGACCUCGAAUCAGGUAGGAAUACCCGCUGAACUUAAGCAUAUCAAUAAGCGGAGGA
rnacentral:misc_RNA from 1 species